rnacentral:rRNA from 1 species
CCAGCGUGCGACCGUGCCUCGCCAGAUAGCCAGGUCCGCACUGAUCUCUUUAUCUGUCUUUCCCUGCGCUGCGAGCAAAAUCAUCUUGGCGCGCUCAGCCAGUCGAACCGGAAUCGUCCGGCCAGUAGCCGCGGUAAUACGUAGGUCCCGAGCGUUGUCCGGAUUUAUUGGGCGUAAAGCGAGCGCAGGCGGUUUGAUAAGUCUGAAGUUAAAGGCUGUGGCUCAACCAUAGUUCGCUUUGGAAACUGUCAAACUUGAGUGCAGAAGAGGAAAGUGGAAUUCCAUGUGUAGCGGUGAAAUGCGCAGAGAUAUGGAGGAACACCAGUGGCGAAGGCGACUUUCU